AAAAAAAUUGGACAAAAAAUUUGGAAACCAGUUGAGAAGAUGACUGCCAAAACGCUCUUGAAAACAUUCUUUUUGCUGUUUGUUGGUUUGAUUGUCACGCUUAGUACUUCGCCAUUGAUCUACAGAUGUUUAGUGAUAAUGGACAGUAGCGACAACAAUUGUGCAGUUUACGACAGAGUGUCGAAAUUAAAGGUGUCAUCACUAGGAACAUGUGACCAUGACGAUGUCAAGGAAUGGGCCUUCCGACUGCUACUGACAACAUCUUUAUUUCUUGCUUUCGUCACG